GCUUCAGUGGUUUAGUGGUAAAAUUAGCCGUUGCCAAAGGCGUCUUAGGACGUCCUCAGUGUCGGCUAGCCCCGUGUUCGAUUCACGGCUGAUGCA
rnacentral:tRNA from 1 species